rnacentral:rRNA from 1 species
AGUGAACGCUGGCGGUAGGCCUAACACAUGCAAGUCGAACGGCAGCACAGUAAGAGCUUGCUCUUACGGGUGGCGAGUGGCAGACGGGUGAGGAAUACAUCGGAAUCUACUUUUUCGUGGGGGAUAACGUAGGGAAACUUACGCUAAUACCGCAUACGACCUACGGGUGAAAGCAGGGGAUCUUCGGACCUUGCGCGAUUGAAUGAGCCGAUGUCGGAUUAGCUAGUUGGCGGGGUAAAGGCCCACCAAGGCGACGAUCCGUAGCUGGUCUGCGAGGAUGAUCAGCCACACUGGAACUGAGACACGGUCCAGACUCCUACGGGAGGCAGCAGUGGGGAAUAUUGGACAAUGGGCGCAAGCCUGAUCCAGCCAUACCGCGUGGGUGAAGAAGGCCUUCGGGUUGUAAAGCCCUUUUGUUGGGAAAGAAAAGCAGCAGGUUAAUACCCCGCUGUUCUGACGGUACCCAAAGAAUAAGCACCGGCUAACUUCGUG